AUGGCGGAGCCCGGCCGCCCGUGGGCCCAGGCGCGUAGUGCGUACAGAGCCACCGAGGUGCUGCGGCGCGGCCCGGGCCGCCGGCGGGACCCGGGGCCGCAAUCCAAUGGGCCGGGCCAGGAAGACGCCCGAGCCCCGGGCCGGCGGGCUCGCCUGCGCGGCCAGCUCUGGGCCGAAGCGGCUUUGCGGUCCGUGGUGGAGCGUGCGGGGGCCGGGGCGGCGGGCGCGGGCGCGGGCGAGAGGACCGGCGCGCACAGCCGCGGCUCCGUGUGCUCGGUAUGCGGGGAGCCCCGCGGCGGGGCCACCUACCCGGCGAGGGUCCUGGAGGUGAGCGAGCGGCGGCUGCAGGAGGGCCUGGCCGCAGUGCGCGAGGAGCUGGGCGCCGGGAUUGAGGCGCUGCGCGCGGAGCUUCGAGCGGAGCUGGACGCCCUGCGCGCGCUGCUGCUGCCGCCGCCGCCGUCCCCGCCUGCCCGCCGCGAGCCCCGCGCCGUCCCCCGCGCCGCGCCCCGCGGCCCGACCCUGCUGCGGACGCUCGGCACCGUGAGCGCCCUGGUCGCCGCCUCCAGGCCCUCAGACGACGCCCCGGACGGCCCAGCAGAAGGCGGAGCGCACCGAGCCCCGGCCAGGAAGAACCACAAGAAGAUGCCAGUGCCGCCUGGGGCCCCGCAAGGUGGCGGGGACUGAGGGCGGCCGCACAAGGGCAGCCUAGGCGAGGUGCGGAAGGCGUCGCGCUGGCUACUCUGGUACCCCCAGGACGGGGCAAGUGAGCAGAUCGGUCCCCCUCGUGGAGCGUGGCUCUGAGUCAGAAGGGUGCCCGGGUGCCGCCAGUUAGGGCUCAGGUCUCAGUGAGGAGGCAGGGUCUCCACGCACUGGAAUAGUGUCAAACCACACACAAGGGCACAGAACCCAGGGACACAGGGCGGCUGAGACACGCAGCUGGUGAUGUCCCUCAGGACGGUGUCAACCAGUAUGUAAUCACAUUCCACACGGCACCCACCUGGACAGCGGCCUCCGGUCAGCCUCACUCUGACUGCAACCCCCCUCUCACUGGACAGCAUCACCUGGGCACAGAGCCUCACCUAGUCUGUGUCCCGUGGACCCAGCUUUGCUUUGGACAGUGACACCAAGAAUACUCACCCCUUUACUUGGCCAGACCACAGGCAGCCACCUGGACACAAACAUCUCUCCAGAGUCACCCUCCACGCAGACUCCACAGCAGAACUCCCAGGGAGGCACUGGGGCAUGGCUUCGGAACACCAGGCAGCCCUCCACGGUGCCCAGCACCGGCUCAGCCAGGGCAGCCUGCAGCGGAGCCUGGAGCCAGCAGCUUCUCAUCUCUUGGCCUGGGGAAAUGUAGCUGGAGUCAUCAUUUAGCAGAGCACAGUGUCCCUGGGUUGGUCACCCAGCUUAGUUUUAAAAUAAAAUAAUGUAAUCUUGG